CACGUAGGGACCAAGCGUUGUCCGGAUUCAUUGGGCGUAAAGAGCUCGUAGGCGGUUCGAUAAGUCGGGUGUGAAACCUCCAGGCUCAACCUGGAGACGCCACCCGAUACUGUCGUGACUAGAGUCCAGUAGGGGAGCGUGGAAUUCCUGGUGUAGCGGUGAAAUGCGCAGAUAUCAGGAGGAACACCAGCGGCGAAGGCAGCUCGCUGGGACGGUACUGACGCUGAGACGCGAAAGCGUGGGGAGCAAACAGG
rnacentral:rRNA from 1 species